CCCUUAGAUGUUCUGGGCCGCACGCGCGCUACACUGACGAAGUCAGCGAGCAUGUCCUACGCCGACAGGUGCGGGGAAUCUUGUCAAACUUCGUCGUGAUGGGGAUUGAGUUUUGAAAUUCUUGAUCAUAAACGAGGAAUUCCUAGUAAGCGCAAGUCAGCAGCUUGCGUUGAUUACGUCCCUGCCCUUUGUACACACCGCCCGUCGCUACUACCGAUUGAAUGGUUUAGUGAGAUCUUCGGAUUGGCGCCACUGCAGCUCAGCAAUGGGCUUGGUGGAUGCCGAAAAGUUGAUCAAACUUGAUCAUUUAGAGGAAGUAAAAGUCGUAACA
rnacentral:rRNA from 1 species